UACGAAGGUCCCAAGCGUUAUCCGGAUUUAUUGGGUUUAAAGGGUGCGUAGGCGGGUUAUUAAGUCAGUGGUGAAAGCCUACAGCUUAACUGUAGAACUGCCAUUGAUACUGAUGAUCUUGAGUAUGAUUGAGGUGGGCGGAAUGUGUCAUGUAGCGGUGAAAUGCUUAGAUAUGACACAGAACACCGAUUGCGAAGGCAGCUCACUAAGUCAUAACUGACGCUGAUGCACGAAAGCGUGGGGAGCAAACGGG
rnacentral:rRNA from 1 species